rnacentral:rRNA from 1 species
CAAUAGCGUAUAUUUAAGUUGCUGCAGUUAAAAAGCUCGUAGUUGGAUUUCGGGUGGGAAUGGCCGGUCCGCCGUUUCGGUGUGCACUUGCUACGCCCACCUUGCUGCCGGGGACGUGCUCUUGAGUUCACGCUCGGGACACGGAGUCGGCGAGGUUACUUUGAGUAAAUUAGAGUGUUCAAAGCAGGCCUACGCUCCGAAUACAUUAGCAUGGAAUAACACGAUAGGACUCUGGCCUAUCUUGUUGGUCUGUAGGACCGGAGUAAUGACUAAGAGGGACAGUCGGGGGCAUUCGUAUUUCAUUGUCAGAGGUGAAAUUCUUGGAUUUAUGAAAGACGAACUACUGCGAAAGCAUUUGCCAAGGAUGUUUUCAUUAA